rnacentral:rRNA from 1 species
GACGAACGCUGGCGGCGUGCCUAAUACAUGCAAGUAGAACGCUGAAGACUUUAGCUUGCUAAAGUUGAAAGAGUUGCGAACGGGUGAGUAACGCGUAGGUAACCUGCCUACUAGCGGGGGAUAACUAUUGGAAACGAUAGCUAAUACCGCAUAACAGCAUUUAACCCAUGUUAGAUGCUUGAAAGGAGCAAUUGCUUCACUAGUAGAUGGACCUGCGUUGUAUUAGCUAGUUGGUGAGGUAACGGCUCACCAAGGCGACGAUACAUAGCCGACCUGAGAGGGUGAUCGGCCACACUGGGACUGAGACACGGCCCAGACUCCUACGGGAGGCAGCAGUAGGGAAUCUUCGGCAAUGGGGGCAACCCUGACCGAGCAACGCCGCGUGAGUGAAGAAGGUUUUCGGAUCGUAAAGCUCUGUUGUAAGAGAAGAACGUGUGUGAGAGUGGAAAGUUCACACAGUGACGGUAACUUACCAGAAAGGGACGGCUAACUACGUGCCAGCCGCCGCGGUAAAAC